GACGGAGGGUGCUAGCGUUGUUCGGAAUCACUGGGCGUAAAGCGCACGUAGGCGGCUUUCUAAGUCAGGGGUGAAAUCCUGGAGCUCAACUCCAGAACUGCCUUUGAUACUGGAGAGCUUGAGUCCGGGAGAGGUGAGUGGAAUUCCCAGUGUAGCGGUGAAAUGCGUAGAUAUUGGGAGGAACACCAGUGGCGAAGGCGGCUCACUGGACCGGUACUGACGCUGAAGCGCGAAAGCGUGGGGAGCAAACGGG
rnacentral:rRNA from 1 species